rnacentral:rRNA from 1 species
GAUUAACGCUGGCGGCGUGCAUGAAACAUGCAAGUCGAGCGCGGUUCGUGAUGGGGUAACCCGCCACGGAUCUAGCGGCGAACGGGUGAGUAACACGUGAGCAACCUACCUUUGAGACCGGGAUAGCCCUGAGAAAUCAGGAUUAAUACCGGAUGUGGUCACGACGGGGCAUCCCGACGUGCCUAAAGGCGCAAGCCGCUCAAUGAUGGGCUCGCGGCUUAUUAGCUUGUUGGUGGGGUAACGGCCUACCAAGGCGUCGACGGGUAGCUGGUCUGAG